rnacentral:rRNA from 1 species
UACGAAGGGGGCUAGUGUUGCUCGGAAUCACUGGGCGUAAAGGGUGCGUAGGCGGGUCUUUAAGUCAGGGGUGAAAUCCUGGAGCUCAACUCCAGAACUGCCUUUGAUACUGAAGAUCUUGAGUUCGGGAGAGGUGAGUGGAACUGCGAGUGUAGAGGUGAAAUUCGUAGAUAUUCGCAAGAACACCAGUGGCGAAGGCGGCUCACUGGCCCGAUACUGACGCUGAGGCACGAAAGCGUGGGGAGCAAACGGG